GAGGGUAUAGCUCAGUGGUAGAAUGUAUGCUUAGCAUGUAUGAGGUCCUGGGUUCAAUCCCCAGUACCUCCA
rnacentral:tRNA from 1 species